UACGAAGGGGGGCUAGCGUUGCUCGAAAUCACUGGGCGUAAAGGGCGCGUAGGCGGCCAUUCAAGUCGGGGGUGAAAGCCUGUGGCUCAACCACAGAAUUGCCUUCGAUACUGUUUGGCUUGAGUAUGGUAGAGGUCAGUGGAACUGCGAGUGUAGAGGUGAAAUUCGUAGAUAUUCGCAAGAACACCAGUGGCGAAGGCGGCUGACUGGACCAUUACUGACGCUGAGGCGCGAAAGCGUGGGGAGCAAACAGG
rnacentral:rRNA from 1 species